rnacentral:rRNA from 1 species
AUGAACGCUGGCGGCGUGCUUAACACAUGCAAGUCGAGCGAAGCAGUUAAGAAGAUUCUUCGGAUGAAACUUGAUUGACUGAGCGGCGGACGGGUGAGUAACGCGUGGGUGACCUGCCCCAUACCGGGGGAUAACAGCUGGAAACGGCUGCUAAUACCGCAUAAGCGCACAGAGCUGCAUGGCUCAGUGUGAAAAACUCCGGUGGUAUGGGAUGGGCCCGCGUCUGAUUAGGCAGUUGGCGGGGUAACGGCCCACCAAACCGACGAUCAGUAGUCGGCCUGAGAGGGCGACCGGCCACAUUGGGACUGAGACACGGCCCAAACUCCUACGGGAGGCAGCAGUGGGGAAUAUUGCACAAUGGGGGAAACCCUGAUGCAGCGACGCCGCGUGAGCGAAGAAGUAUUUCGGUAUGUAAAGCUCUAUCAGCAGGGAAGAUAAUGACGGUACCUGACUAAGAAGCCCCGGCUAACUACGUGCCAGCAGCCGCGGUAAUACGUAGGGGGCAAGCGUUAUCCGGAUUUACUGGGUGUAAAGGGAGCGUAGACGGCAAGGCAAGUCUGAUGUGAAAACCCAGGGCUUAACCCUGGGACUGCAUUGGAAACUGUCUGGCUCGAGUGCCGGAGAGGUAAGCGGAAUUCCUAGUGUAGCGGUGAAAUGCGUAGAUAUUAGGAAGAACACCAGUGGCGAAGGCGGCUUACUGGACGGUAACUGACGUUGAGGCUCGAAAGCGUGGGGAGCAAACAGGAUUAGAUACCCUGGUAGUCCACGCCGUAAACGAUGAAUGCUAGGUGUUGGGGAGCAAAGCUCUUCGGUGCCGCCGCAAACGCAUUAAGCAUUCCACCUGGGGAGUACGUUCGCAAGAAUGAAACUCAAAGGAAUUGACGGGGGCCCGCACAAGCAGUGGAGUAUGUGGUUUAAUUCGACGCAACGCGAAGAACCUUACCAAGUCUUGACAUCCCUUGACGAACAUAGAAAUAUGUUUUCUCUUCGGAGCAAGGAGACAGGUGGUGCAUGGUUGUCGUCAGCUCGUGUCGUGAGAUGUUGGGUUAAGUCCCGCAACGAGCGCAACCCUUACUGUCAGUUACUACGCAAGAGGACUCUGGCAGGACUGCCGUUGACAAAACGGAGGAAGGUGGGGAUGACGUCAAAUCAUCAUGCCCCUUAUGAUCUGGGCUACACACGUGCUACAAUGGCGUAAACAAAGGGAGGCAAAGCCGCGAGGUGGAGCAAAUCCCAAAAAUAACGUCUCAGUUCGGACUGCAGUCUGCAACUCGACUGCACGAAGCUGGAAUCGCUAGUAAUCGCGAAUCAGAAUGUCGCGGUGAAUACGUUCCCGGGUCUUGUACACACCGCCCGUCACACCAUGGGAGUUGGUAACGCCCGAAGUCAGUGACCCAACCUUUCAGGAGGGAGCUGCCGAAGGCGGGACUGAUAACUGGGGUG